UAUUUUAUUAUGAGCAUUGAUUUCAUGAAUAUGUCUUAUGAAAAUAGCAUGAUUAUGAAGUAUGAAUUUUAUGAUUUUGCCACCUAUGUAUAUGUAUGUUUUAAGAAAAAAAUAUAAUAAUUUCAAAGGCUCUCAGAUAGCUAUGAACGAAUUCUUUCGGAAAGGUCGACAUCCGGAGCUAGUAUCUAUAAGAACACAG
rnacentral:lncRNA from 1 species